rnacentral:tRNA from 1 species
GCCUGGUUGGCUCAGUCAGUUGAGUGGCCGACUUUGGCUUGGUCAUGAUCUCAAAGUUCAUGGGUUCGAGCCCUGCAUCAGGCU